AACAGCAGAGAAGCGUGAGAAGGACAGGCACACUCAGCAGCCAGGGGCCACGGGCGGACAGAUCGCAGCGCUGUAGACAAAAUGCUGUUCUUGGGGCAGAAGGCCUUGCUGCUUGUCUUGGCAGUCAGCAUCCCCUCUGACUGGCUACCCCUAGGGGUCAGUGGUCAACGAGGAGAUGAUGUGCCUGAGACAUUCACAGACGACCCUA